GAUCAACGCUGGCGGCGUGCCUAAUGCAUGCAAGUCGAACGGGGUCGCCUUCGGGCGGCUCACGUUGCGGACGGGUGAGGAACGCGUGGGCGAUCUGCCCCGAGGCGGGGGAUAGCCACCAGAAAUGGUGGGUAAGACCGAAUGAGCGCAUCGGAUUACGGUCCGGUGAGGAAAACGCAGCAAUGCGUACCUUGGGAGGAGCCUGCGGCGGAUUAGCUAGUUGGUGGGGUAACGGCUUACCAAGGCGAUGAUCUGUAGCUGGUCUGAGAGGAUGGCCAGCCACAGGGGAACUGAGACACGGUCCCCACUCCUACGGGAGGCAGCAGCAAGGAAUUUUCCGCAAUGGGCGAAAGCCUGACGGAGCAAGACCGCGUGGGGGAGGAAGGUUCUUGGAUUGUAAACCCCUUUUCUCAGGGAAGAAGCUCUGACGGUACCUGAGGAAGAAGCAUCGGCUAACUCCGUGCCAGCCGCCGCGGUAACAC
rnacentral:rRNA from 1 species